rnacentral:rRNA from 1 species
UACGGGGGGGGCAAGCGUUGUUCGGAAUUACUGGGCGUAAAGGGCUUGUAGGUGGCCAACUAAGUCAGACGUGAAAUCCCUCGGCUUAACCGGGGAACUGCGUCUGAUACUGGAUGGCUUGAGUGUGGGAGAGGGAUGCGGAAUUCCAGGUGGUAGCGGUGAAAUGCGUAGAUAUCUGGAGGAACACCGGUGGCGAAGGCGGCAUCCUGGACCAAUAUUGACGCUGAGGAGCGAAAGCCAGGGGAGCAACGGG